UAGACUCUAGUUUAUAAAAAAUAUUUGACUUGCAUUUAAAAGAUGGAAAUCCGAGUCUGG
rnacentral:tRNA from 1 species